rnacentral:rRNA from 1 species
GGACCGUGUACAAGUUCCCUGGAACGGGGCGUCAUAGAGGGUGAGAAUCCCGUAUAUGCCACGGACUACCAAUGCUCUGUGAUACACUCUCAACGAGUCGAGUUGUUUGGGAAUGCAGCUCAAAAUGGGUGGUAAAUUCCAUCUAAAGCUAAAUAUUGGCGAGAGACCGAUAGCGAACAAGUACCGUGAGGGAAAGAUGAAAAGCACUUUGGAAAGAGAGUGAAACAGUACGUGAAAUUGUUGAAAGGGAAGCGUUUGAAGUCAGUCACGUCUGUCGGAAUUCAGCCUGGCUUCUGCCUGGUGUACUUUCCGUCCGACGGGUCAGCAUCAAUUUCGACCGAGGGAAAAAGRCGUGAGGAAUGUGGCUGUCUYCGGGCAGUGUUAUAGCCUCGCGUUGUAUGUCUCGGUUGGGAUUGAGGAACGCAGCGCGCCUAUUGGCCGGGGGUUCGCGCCCCUCGGUACGCGCUUAGGAUGCUGGCWUAAUGGCUUUAAGCGACCCGUCUUGAAACACGGACC